GUAAAAUGUCCAGACAUAAUUUUUAAUAAACUUUUCCAUAAUUAUAAUAUAUAUUCAUCAGCGGUUAACUACAAAAAAUUAAUUAUAUGUGUAGAAUUUAACUAUACAUGCAUUAAUUUUAUGUAAAUUUUAGAAUUAAAUCAUUGUUGAUAACUAUUAUUUACAAAUUUAAAUUUAAAAGUUAACAAAUAUUUCUAAAAUUGGGAAAACACAAGUCUAUAAAGAUGGUAUAGUACAAAAUAAUAGUGAUAUUUCUUCAUAAACUAAAAAUUAAUUUUCUUGGGUAGAAAAUAAAUUUUGAUAAAAUUAAUAGUAAAAUAUUUACUCCCGAAAAAUAAAAAAAAUAGCAUUGUAAUAACACACAUAAAAUUAUUUAAUAGUUUUGAGGUUCAUGUUUACUUUGCGUGUGUUUGUAGAGUUGGUCUUAUAUAGUACUAUUAAAUAAAAUUAACAAUUUUAUUUUAAAAAAAAAAAGAAAAUCAUUAUUUUUUUAUUUUGAUCGUACGUAAAUUUUAGGAAGAAACAAGUAGAAUAUGGAUUUUGGUUUUUAAGAAGGAACUAGUAAGAGGAAGCAAAAACUAGUUUUCCUAUAAAAUAGGGAAUCUAUUUGACCAAAAUCAUGAUUGGGUAAAAAACUUUCAAAAACUAAAAACUAGUGUAGAAUCUACAAAACAAUCGACCUCUUAGUUUGAUAACUUUUUUUUAUCAACUUCUUUUAUAAAACCCAAUGGGCAAAAAAUUACAAACAUGGUAGUUAAAAAUCUAAUCGGCCUUUAAGUAACACUAAAUUAUGAGAAACAUAUAAUUAAAACACAAAAUACAAUUUAAUUUUAAUAUAAUAGUGAAUUUGGCUAAGAAAAACAAGUGUCAUGUUCUGGUGAGAGUAUUUGAUGACGUGUCAUUCUCAGAAAAGAAUAAAACUUCUUUUAUAUAUAUAGAAGUAAAUAUUUUAUUAAUGGUAAAAUCAAAUACAAGACUUGACCGAAACAUGCCCAGAAAAAUCAUAUAAAUAGGGUUGUUUGUAAAAAGCAAAAAUAUAUCAUCAAUAGUUCAAUACUACUGUAUCAAAAGAAAUUAAUAGUAAAAACAAUAUGGGCAUCACAAAAACAUCUAUGACUAUGUCCUUUGUACUAAUAUUGUUGAUUUCUUUUUGUAAUUACAGUAUUUUGGCCAGACCAGAAAUCAAGCCAGGGAGUUAUGAAUGUACUGUGCCAUGUACUGCAGUUUACGGAAAUAGGGAGUGUUACAACUACUAGGUCCGUUUCCGCGCUACGCGCGGAUUAUAUAUUUUUAUUUAAAAUUUUGAUUUUGAUUUUUUGACUUAAUAUGUUAAUUGUUUUAUUUUAAUAUUUUAUUAAAUUUUGUAAAUGUUUACAUAUCUAUUUAACCUGUUUUCUGAUUAUUUAUUUUUUAUGUUUUUGUUUUUUAUGUUUUUGUUUGAUUUGAAAAUAAAAUAUGAAAUUUUAAUAUUUUUCCAUUUAACACAUUGUGUAAUUACAAAACAGAUUUUCAAUUUUGAAUCCGCCUAGGACGGAUCAGAUAUCCGCCGGAUAUUACAAUUUUUAGAAGGAUAUCCGACAUCCGGAUAUCCGAGAACCCCGAAUCCGGAUAAGGAUAGUUAAAUUAUGGAUCCACCAGAUAAAGAUCUGGAUCCUUAAAAUAAAUAAAAAAUAAUAU